AAACUCUGGUUUCUCUUCAGAUUGCAUACAUCUUUCACCUUUUACUAAAGAUUUCCGUGGAGAGAAACAAUUCUGAAUUUUGAACCAAUUCUGAGUUUUGACCAAAAAGUCAACA